rnacentral:rRNA from 2 species
AAAAAAGGUAAGCUACUAAGAGCGAAUGGUGGAUGCCUUGACUGGUAAAGGCGAUGAAGGACGUACUAGACUGCGAUAAGCUACGGGGAGCUGUCAAGAAGCUUUGAUCCGUAGAUUUCCGAAUGGGGCAACCCAAUGUAUAGAGAUAUACAUUACCUAUAUAGGAGCGAACGAGGGGAAUUGAAACAUCUUAGUACCCUCAGGAAAAGAAAUCAAUAGAGAUUGCGUCAGUAGCGGCGAGCGAAAGCGCAAG